ACAGAAAUUUCUGGUCUCCAGGACUGAUGUUUCCAGGUCUCUCCCCCAAUCCGACCAAUCCUUCCACCCCACCCUUUGCUGCAGUCAGGGGGAGGUUUGCUUGAUUAAAUUUUCUUGAUUCCCUGCUGUUAGGCAGUGCCUUGACCUCCGUUUCUCUGCAGGCUCUCUGGCUCCAGCCUUUGUUUUGUUCAUCAGUGUUUCUCUUUGGUGGACAGCCCUCAGUGAACGUUGCUGGUACCUUCUAAACACUUUGUAUAGAUCUCAGGCCAGGAAACUGAAGGAAUCGAUUGCUAUUCUUUUGUGUGUGUGCCAGUCAGGAGCUAAAAGCUCCCACAAGAUGCACACAACUCUAUUCUUCCCUGUCAGUUCUCACUUGGGAAGAUCCAUACAUUUCCAUCAAAUGAGAGUGAUUUGCUUAUUUUGGGUUAUUGGAAAUGUAGCAUCCAGUAGACAAAGCCCUAUUAAAAUCAGCUUGGCUUUCAGGUUAUUUUUUAGAAGAUGAGAGGAGUAGGAAAAGGAACAGUAGAGAGGAAAAUAGUAGGUGUAUUUGUAUGGAUGCAUACACUGUGUGUAGAUGACUGUGAAACUAAUGAACAGAUUCCUAUUUUUUCAUUUGGGAACCAGAUUUAAAAUGGAAAGAUUACUUAUUGUGAGAGCAGCAAUGUAUUUCUAGAUGCUUAAACUUACGUUCAAAUGUUUUCAGAGCGUGUGUGUAUAAAACCAUCAUAAAUGGCCUAACAAAGGCGAAUAAUUUGUAGCAAUGUUGUGGAAUAUACAGCAGCUUUAAAGUUAUGACUUUGACCACAUUCCCUUAUGAAACCUACCUCACUCACCCCAGCUGGGAAGAUGGCAAACAAGCCAUGUCUUGCAGAAAAACAGGUGCCACAUCUGUGGUUGAGUUUUUGUAGGUAAAUGAUACUGCUAAAUGUGAGUUUUCUGGAGGGUUUGUUGAACUGAAUUGACCUUUGUAGCACAGCUUUGUUCUCUUUAGCUAUCCGCAGGUUUUGAAACAAAUCAAUAAAUUGAGCAGUAACACUUCACAAAGAGCAGAUGGUCUUCACCCAGGACUUCUAAGGGAAUUAAAAUGUGAAAUUACCAGGCUGCUGCUGUGGCGUACCACUUAAAUCUGCCUUGGUGCAAAAGGAAUAGCAGGGAGUAACUAUUCCACCAGCCUUUUUAGUGUUUCAGUGUGUAGCUGAAUUCAAAGACAAGUAAGUCUGACUUAUUAAUACAUCAUAAGGAACAAGUAAGGUAGUCAGAGGAAUGGAUAAACUUAUGUUGGAAAGUUAUCACUGUAACUUAUAUGGAGAUAAACAGGGCCUUGAAGAUUGUAGUUUCUUGGAGAAGUUAAUGAAUAUGUUCAUGGGGGUAAAAGAAUUUACAUAUUGUGUGUAGAUUUUUCCAAAAAGCCUCUUAAAAAUUAUAAAAAGCUUUUAGAAAAUUGAACAAAUGUUGGAUUAAAGAGGAGGCCUUUUAUGCAUUUGUAACAUUUGAAACUGAAGGACGGGAUUGUAUGUUUUCAUAUGGAGGACAAUAACAAGGCCUCAACUAUGUAACAAGUGUGGUCUGGAAAGGCAAGUAAAUAGGUGACAAUUUGCUGCUGAUACGAAAUGACUCAGAAUAUUCUAAUUAAAACUGACUGUGGAAGCUUGCAGAAAUGAUUGGAUGACAGAGGAAAUUGAAUAUUGAUAAAUGAAUUACUGUCUGUGGGUGGGAAGGAACAUUAGUCAAAGUCAGGGAUGAGUUUUAAAUUUGCUGGUUGGGAAAUAAUCAUUGUCUAUAGUUCCUUGAAAAUGUAGCUGAAUGGCAAUCAAGCUGCCACGUAUGUGGUUCUUUAUGUAGAUGCUAGUUAUGCUACAUUGUUCGCUAUACAGUGGCACUGUUGAUGAAAUCUUAGAGGGAGGAUUCAAAUUCCCUGCCUAUACUAGGAACAGAUUUCUCUAUUAGAGGCCCUGUAUCAGCAAGUCGAAUCCUCAUUUUGCAAGCAACAUGUAAAUAUAUUUUUGUUGGUUGUUUUUUGCUGUUGAUACCAUGUUUGCGAGGUGCUUCCAGAACCUCACUGCUUUAAGGGCCAAGUUGGAACCUUCAUCUAACUUCCAGAUUAACUUGGAUUUUAUUAAUUAAUUUAUUUUUGACCUUCAGAAAUGUAUUUAUUUUUAAGUAGCAUUUUUAGUUUAGACGGUUCUCUCUCCGCCAGUGCUUUUCUUUCAAUUAAUUAUAUCUAAUGAGAGGCAGCAAUUAAACCCGAAAGUCAGUACUUUGCUAAACCGAUUGAAGACAACACUUUCUUUCAGGAGAUCCCCCUUGGUUCUCAUAGUAACAUCUGACAAAUUCACCUUUUUAGGAAUGCAGCUAGGUUUGGUAUAAAAGAUAUCCCAGGUACCUUCUUUAGUAAUGUAGUUUGAUGGUUUAGCAGAGGUUUAAUGCAGCAAUCUACGUGAUGAAGCAAAUGGCUUUUGAGAUUCUAUGAAGACUGACUGUAUCAAUCUAAUAAAAUUCCUUAUUUGUUGCAUAGGUGCGAAAUCUGGUAUUUGGCAGAGCUAGAAGAGAAACUUUUGGAUGCUUUUGAUCAAAGGUGCUCACAGAAAAUUAUGCCGCAAAGUAUCAAGUGAUAAGAAUAUAUGUAAUGACAGGGUUUGAGAAAGAAUGAAGCUUUCAUCAACAGACGCUGGGGUUUCGGAAGGCUUGUGGAACAACCACUGCACUCCAUUUUAGAAGGAAAAUUGUCUUUCCUGCUGUGGUGUUGGCUAGAAGCAUCUCCUGUGAAGUUACAUCUCAUUGCAUGCAAAAUAAAAGUGCCACCAGAAUACCUGCGAAUCACUGCUCCGUCUUGCUUUUUCAUCAAACUGUUCAACUGGUUUUGCUUGUGCAAUGCUUGGAUAAGAUUGGCUGGAACUUCACAAGGGCACUGGAUAGAGGGAGGUUUCCUGAGGUACUACAAACAUUUCUCCUUCUUCUCUUGGUAGGAUGGCUCCUUAUUCAUUUGAAUAACUUGCUUUAGCAGGUCCUUAUUCUACUCAGAACUCUUCUGAACUUACCUGUGGUCAAAAAUAUUCCUCAUUUGUGUGUAAAUUAUUGGACUUCUUUAAGGACCAAAUGUCCAAUGUAUAAUAUUAAAUUCUAUGCAGUAUGUUCCAUGUGUCUAGCAUGAUCGCACAUCAUAAAUACGCUUUUCAUGGUGUGAGUAUGAAUCUGCUUCCAUGUAUAAUGUAAAUUAUGGAUUUCAGAGGGCAUUUGGAGUGAGAUGUUUGGAACAGAUGUCUCUCAUGGUAGUUGGCUUGGUCUAAGACUUCUUGAGAGUGUCUCAAUCCACAUAUUCAGGUAUGACAACUGAAGUGAUAGGGGGAUGUUUAAGCAAACAGACUGUUGAUAAAAUUAAACUUUGAAGAAGAUAUUAUAGCAGAAAUCUAAAUUCUAUGCUCUUAGCUCAUGCACUGUUGUCCAGUCUGUGAUGUGGUUGGUGUGUGUAUGUACAGGUAACCUAUAAAGCAGAAGUUAAAAGCUACACUUGGACUUUCUUGGAAUGAAAUAGCUGGUUUGGAGUGCUCAGUUAAAUAUAGAAGGGGGGGACUUGUACGUGCAUACGUGCAUGUUCUUUAGAUCAGUGGUGUAUUUUUUAUAGUGUACUUUGAAUAUUGAGAUGGGACUUGAGACUCCAAUUUGUGAAAAGCAAAUGAAAUAAAGGAACGUGAGCUGAAUUAGGUAAGCCCGUUCCUGUCUUGAAUGACAAAAAGAACAGGAACUGUCUGAAAUGCUGCUCUGAUACAAAAGCUCACCGCAGUCAGAAAGUGACCUGAAAGCCCUGUCACCGAACAAAUCCAGCAAGAUGGUUUGCUUUGAGGGAAGAGGAAAGGAUGCUGAUGUCCAGAGGUGCUAAUAUUGUGGUUGCCACAAGUGUGAUCAGCCCAUCUGCUGCCCAAAGCCUACAAAACAAAGAGGAAAAAGAAGCCAGUCAAAAUAAGUGUAAAACUCAUUUUAAAGCGAAGAUGGAGUCCUGAGAAUGAUGCUGUGUAAGGUCUCAUUUCCCGUUGCACACCAUGCUAAAUUGCCAUAAACAGACCCAGAUGUGACCAGUUCAAAAGGUGCUACAAAAAAGCUGGGUGAGACAUCGGAGAACGUACUUUCCCCCUUUUAUCAUUGCUGCAGGAUACUACUUUAAAAUACUAAAUGACCUCUUUCUGCUGGCUGCGGAGAAGGAUGAGGAGAGGAGGAAACCUAAUAACUUCACAGUCUCCACCAGCAUGAGAUGCGUGGAACAAAAUUAAAGCAGUCAGAAAAGAUAAUGGAAGCUAAAGCACUUUUCACUUCUGUGAGAGUUGAGCCACAAAGUAGGGGCCUCCAGGCAGCCCUGCUAUUUGAUCCCAAAUCAGUCACAGCUCUUGAAAUACUGAAGUAAAUGAAAAAUCCACUGGCAGAGACAAUACCGUUCAGUGUGUGAUGGACACAGAGUGCCAUCAGUGAUUUGAAAUCUUGAAUGCAUCCACACCCACGCCUCUAUACAAGCAUCUACUCAGACACUUAACUAAAGCGAUGUGGUUCUUCAUGGAUUCUGUGAGGUAAUACAACUGCGCUGAGAUGUAUGGCCAGAUGGAUGACAUUUGGCUUUCAAAUGUGGGAGAAAUCCCAGGCAGCCCUGGCAGGGAGCUGUAGAAGGAGGAGCCGUUUCAUUCCUUGUGCUGGGACAGGCGCUUGCCAUGUCACAUCACUGACUCCAAAAGCCGCAGAGAUAAUGGGAACAAGGGGUCUAGAUGAGAACUUCAGGUGAACUGAGAGUUUGGAUUCCAAAAACCACAAGUUUGCCUGGUGGUUUAUUUUUGCUUUCUGUGGCCAAGAGAAUGUUUAAAAUACAUUAUAUUGUACAACAAACUUUGGGAUGCCUAAGGCAACGCUUAAGUUUUUAAUGUUUUAGUGGCAGUGUGUCUGUAAUAUGUAAAAGGACUCUUUCCUUUCUAAACUGAUAUCAGGAAUACCUCUGCUUCUGCCAUGCAACCUCCACUGAUACUGAUGUUCUUUGGUUUUCCCUCACUCUCGCUCCAGUCAGUUAUUAUUGCUUAAGGGCUGGAAAGAGAUGAUUACUUAAGUCAGGGAGCAAUUUAACAUGGGUGGAAUGUGAGGAGCUUUCUAAGGGAGGAGAUAAUGGAGUUGGUUUUAGCUCUUGCUGUACACAGCAAAAAAUUCUUGCCUGUCCUUCCCAGGUGGUGUCUGUCCCUGCCAAAAAAGUCUCUGUGCAUCUUGCUGAUUUAUUCCAGCUUUUCCUUUUCAGUUUGGGUAAGGAGUGAGGAGUAGCCACAUCGUUUCUUCCUUAUUGUUUCUUUCCAUUUAUCAUUUGCUUUAGAAAGAACCAUCUGUGAGUUUGUAUAAACAUUUAAGUGCAGGAAGUAAUAAAACAAUGUUUUAUGGAUGGUAACUCUUUUGUGACUGUUUAUAUUUAUUCAAACUGUUUAUAUUUAUUCAGAGACUCACAUGGAACUCUACAGAGACCUGCUGCUGCCAGCCUGGAAUGGUCGCAGUCCUAAGACCAGUAUCAAGCACUGCUUAGCGUCCUUCUGGUCUGCUCAGAUUAAUGAGGGUGGCUGCUCUGGGCAAACAAAUGUCAUCUGUACAAUUUAGCAAAUACAUAUGUCUAGGACAGGCACAACUGGAGGUCAAGUUAAUGGAUAAAACUCAAAAUACCCCCAUUUUUUCUUAAAGGAAUAGGUUAAAUGAAUAGGAGUGAAUAAAGGCAACUGUGUUAUAAUCGGAAGCAAAGACAUGAAUACAUCCAGAUGUUGAACAUGAGGGAGGAGAAACCUUAGUCAGUCUUUCCCUGAAGACUAAAAACCAAAGUAUUAACGUCAUCCUUAUAUCCAGGAUGCCUCUGUUAACUGGGGAUGCUGGAAAAAUCAAUGGACCAGUAGAUUUCUUGCCCUGUCUCAUAGCUCCAGACCAUGGUAAUUCAAUUUGAUCCCUAGUCAUGGUAAUCUCUGAGCCCAUGCAGGAUUUCUGUCAUGCUGAGGUUGGAUAUCUCUACUAUCGCUUCUGUUUCUGCGUAGUAGAAUCAGUUUGUCUGAUGGAUAUGCCGAAAUGGUAUUGUUUAACACAUUGCAUCUCUUUCUAUAAUCUCGCCCACUUAGGGAACUGUGUGCUUCAGUUCUUAAAAAGCAAGAUUAUUCUGGAUGUUACAUUUUUAUCGCUGAAAGCUUAGUACUACCUGCAGUACUGAAUUUCCUCUCCAUGAAAAUGAUACUAUUUCUUAAAAUAUGCUAAUUGUAAUUUUAUAUUGGGAAAUGUUAUGAAAGCUUUUUUUAAUUGAUUCAAGAUUUCCUAUCAAAUACUUUGAAGAAAGAGGCUUCUUCAUAGAAGCCUUUGGUGCCAGGCUGCUAUUUAACUCUUCAUUAACUGUAAUAUCGCAAAGAGUUAAGGGCCCUUGGGAAGAGAAUGGAAAAGAGAAAAAGGCUGUACUGCCACAUUUUUGUUGAAAAUUACAAUUAAAAGUGUCAGACUUUGUGUGUUCAAGAAUGUGAUAUUAAAUGAAUUAUAGCACUGAAAAUGGCUUCUGAUGUGGAGAACAGCAUCAGCCCCAAAAGAUGUGGCAUAGUGUCCAAGAGCAUUUCAAUUUGAGUUAUUAAAGGAAAGGAGGCAGAGAAAGAAGAAAUAUUCCUUCAUUCUGCAAAAACAGAAGCAAAGUCUUGAGUACAUUUGCAAGAGAAAACACAUUGUACGACAUCAGUGCAACAAUGCAGAAUCAAUAGGAGAUUCUGAAGAUGCUCUUGUUUUGUAAAUUCAGCAGCACUACAGGGAAAAAAGUGCUGAUCCUUUGAAAACUGUAAAAAUUACUGCCUCUGAAGAAGUGUUAACAAAAUAUAUUCAGCAAUUAUAAUAACCAGCUUUGCUCUAAACUUGCUAUUAGCGUGGUUUUCUGACAUGACUACCAUGAAAACAGGUGUAAAUUGGGUCCUGAGAGAUUGGCAUAUGGUAUUCAAACGCUUCCUUGUUGGAUUUUAAACAAUACAUAUUGCAUGCACACACUAUUAUGUUUAUGCGGCACUUAAAAGUUAUUUCUAAUCCAAUUCCUUCCCAGGUUCCCCAUUUUAAAUACAUUUUUUCUGUAGGUGUCACUGUAGCAUAGCGGAUAGAAAACACUUCCCUUAAUGAAAAUGUAGAAUACACAUAGACCAGAAGCGGCUGUAAUCUGGUUUACUGUGCCAUGGUUGUCAUGUCAACAAAGAGGUUUCCCAGCAACUAACGGAAUAAAGUAUUAUAUAGAUAUAUUUACUUAUCCUUUCUAAUAAUGAACCUGAUGCAAGACAGUUUUUUCGCCUUUAUAAUUAUGUGUCAAUUAAGAAGGAUUUCCCAAAUCUUUUACAUUUUGUCACAUCUUAAUACUGACAGUUAAAAUUAAUCUUGUUAAUAAAAUUGAAGCUGAUAGAAUUCAUGAAGAUUUUCCGCUUGCACCAAAAAUGUAGCUAUUUUAUGUUGCAAAACUUCUUGUAUUUCUAGUUAACUGAUUGAUGAGAGAAAUGUAAGUUAUUAGUAUAUGUGACUUUGAUGGUGUUGCUUUUCAUGGGUAUUGAAGACAUAAACUUUGUUUGCCUCUCUCUGCUUAGACUAUACAUCAUUUCUUAAAGAAGUGUUGAACAGAGCUUACUACUUUAAAGUGUGGUUGAAGGAGAUGCCUUGAGCCUGCCUUUUACAGCCAGUACUAAUGUAAACUUCAGCCUAAGCAUAGCUGUGGGGAGUUUCUGGGAAGCUGUUGGUUUAGUCUUAGCUUUCAAAAAGAAUUCUAUGUGUGAGUUAUUUCCUUAUCAACCCAAUGCUUGUGUAGCAUAAAAUGUGUAGACCAUUAAUGCGAGCAGACCUUGGGUCAUCAUCCCACCUUCUGGCAGAGGGUCAGAAUCACAAGGCUUUGCAGCAUCAUUGUGAAUUUUACUCUCUUUCCUUGCGGCACACUAAUUUGAUGUGAUUUCUCCAGAAGAUUUGCCUUCCACUUUGGUCUUCUUGGCAGUCAACUCUAUGGGAUGCUCACUUGGGUAUCAUCAUCAGCUGUGAACGAUGUGGUCUUGAAUCCUCUCUGGAAGAAGAUUGCAUUGACCUGGCCUUCACUUCCCUGGUAGGCUGUUCUAAUGAAGCUAUUAUCUAAUCAUGUGGAAGUGAUAUUCUGGUGAUCAUUUAAAGCACGUACAGUUGCUCUGGUCUAUUAGCUGUACUUGGAACAUGCUUAAUAGUUCAGGGUCUCAAGGGUGUUAAGAGGCCCUCUAGUUAAUUAGAGACAUGGGAUUUAUGCAUCUGGCUCCUUCAGAUACAAAUUUAAAAGCUUUCAGAAAAAAGGGAGAUUUUGUGGUUUCUUACCUAGGUAACAAGUAAAAAUGUUUUGUUUUGGUUUAGUUUUUUUAAUGGUAGUUUUGAUUUAAGCUCUAAAAACCUGGACAAAGCCUUUGGAGAUUGCUUUUGCAGGCAUAGCUAAUGGAUCAAAUUGCUAGAGAUGCCAGGGUAUCACACUGCCACGUCGUCUUAAAUAAGAGCUGGAAACCGAGUUCUGGCCUUUAGCCUCUCAAGCAGUAGGUGUGUUAAAGAAAGAUUUCUUGCGCACAAACUGUCUCGGAUUUCCACUCUGCAAAUUACUGUGUAAUUUAUACCACACGUCCUAAUAAACUCUCCCUCUGCUUCUUUGGAGAAUACAGCACUUGAAGUUAAUUAAAUAGAGAAACUCUGUGAAGCUCAGAAGCAACUAGAUCAGCUCUGAUUGUCUGACUGUUGGAGAUCAUCUCAAGUAGGCAUUUGGGCACUUACUAGCAAACUGGGAAACUGCAUGUUAAGAACCAGGGAUUGUAUAUGCUGUGCAAAAUCUAAGGAAAGAUCUUUGUCCAAGUCUGUGGAGGGAAAAAAACCCACCAAACUGUUCAGUGAACAAUCAAAAUAAAUUUUAUGUGAUUAAUAGAAAUAGUUUUACUAGCUCAGCUGGAGAUUUUAUUUGAUUAUCUCUUUACUUCUGGAAACUGUUCAGGAUUUUUUUCCAUUUUUGUUUCUUUGUUUGUCUUCUCUAUCUGAUUCUUUGGCAUUUGUGGAUCUUAGUUGCUAUGUAAUUUAUUAGUGAAAUUCUAAGACCCUUCUGAGUUUUGUAGCCUGUACUCAUUGUCCCUUCAUGUUGGGGUGGUUUCUCUUAAGAAUACACAUGAGUAUAAAUCCCCAGAAAGAACAGGACACAAAAAUCUCCAUAGUGGAAGAGAAGAUAUUGUAGUCUAAUUACUAAUAAUUAGCUUUAGGCACCUUCUGAUAAUUUCAAGGAACCAAGAUAAGUUUCUGAGUAACUCAGCUCAGCAUCUCCUUUAGGGAGUGGUAUGACUGCUUUCCUGCAUGGUAUAACCUUUACAAUAUAUAUUUGAUAUAUGUGAAUAUUUUUGAAGGAUUAAUAAGUAGCAUUAAUAUUUCCUGAAAUUACUCAACUGCUACUUUUGUGUUAAAGCUUCACUAUUUGCAAUCGUCUUUAUAAUAACUAGUAUAUGAAGGAAACGUAUUUUUGAGAGCCUGUUCUACUUAGCCAGUAGCAAUGGAGUCAUUUAUUGUUGGCUAAAACUCCUUUAUCUCUGUUUGUCCCAAGAAGAAUCUAAAUCACUGGCAGGAUAAAUUCAUUUAUCAGGAAUAUAAGAAUAGAGGCUGCUGUUUCACUAGCUGGGAUAAAAUUACCAGGCUAUUAGUUCUCCUGCUUCAGGAUAUAAAUAGAUCAUUAGAUACGUUCAGUGAUUUUUCUUCCUAUGGUAGCCAGAUCCUCUAUGUUUUUUGAUAACAUUAGAUAUUUUACUUGAAGCAAGUGAUAUUAGCCAGUGCUGCAGAGAAGUUAAAGCUACUGGGUGUUUCUUAAACUUUCACACUCCCAUAGCGACUUCAUCAAUCUCGGAUUCUUCCAUUCCUCAUUCUUUUUACUCUAUACUCCCACUAGGAAGAAAUAAAUUGAGAAGGUAGACAGAUGAAAACAGAAGAAAUUGUAUACAAUGCAUUGAAAUUGCAGGCAGCAUUCUGCACAGCACUUAAUUUAUUAUGCUUUUUUGGUAGGAAGGUCAAAUGUGGUAAUUUUGAAGUGAGGAUUUUGUUAUAGAGGAUAUGGAGUAUUAAUAUAAUAUAGCAAGAAAAGAAGCUAAAAAAAUAGGAGAGGAAAGAGAUGAAUAAUUUAUAAGAAAACACUUUCUUCAACUCAUUAAAAUGGCCUGAGAGUCAUAGAAACCCAAGAUUUUUCUUGUUCAGGAAGAAAGUAGAACACAUGCAAAUGAACUUUUAAAAAACUAAUCAAAUGAAGCUUUUCUCCCUCUUUAAGUCUUUAGAAAGAGAAAAGUCUUAGUAGGAUAGUUUGGAUCAAAGUUUUUACUACUGUGAUAUUUACACUGAUAUUUAAAUUUCCCUGAACAGAUCUCUAUGAGUAAUUGAAAAAAAAGUCACUUCAGUUUCCAGUGACAGAUGACGGAUCACAAAAUAAUAACUGAUUUUAUUGUGUUUUUCUUCCUUCUUCAAACAGAUUUGAAUACCUGAUCCAGGAAGAGUAGGGAACGACACAUGGUUUUGCUACAUUCUGCUCCUUUUUAGUAGAACUUUCUGUAGAUGGUAUGAAGACCAAGGAGGGAGUGUUGGGGAGGUGGUUCUGUGUGGUGGUUUCUGCAGGGCCCAUCGCUGCCUUCCCUGCCCGUGCUGCUCUGGUUUCUUCCAGUUUGGAUGACAGACGUUAAGAUUCUCUUUUGCAAGAGCCACAUUGUUAUAGAGCGUAAAGAAAUGAGGGGGGAGAUGCAGCAGCUUUGCAUAGACAGAUCUUAUUUCACAAAGUACUGCAAAUCUUGGAACUUAAAGCUUGUCUUCAAAGUUUUCUAUUCAAAUUUACAAUUUGGGGGAUUUUCAUGAGACAUUAUUUAUGAAAAGAGUUUAUUUUUUUGCCAAAUAAUUUUCAGAAAAACCUUCAUCUUUGUCUUCGUCAUAAGGAUAAAAAAAAAAUUGAAACAAAACUUUUUAAACCAUAUUUCUUUUUUUUGUUCAAAUUUUGGAAAAUGUCAGCGGUGAUUUGUUUGGUAUGAAAAACUUCUGGAUUCAAGGGGGAGAGUGUAAUUUACCAUCUUGCGAUUCCAAGUCAAUUACCUAAAGUUCGCAUCCCUGGUUUAGGACAGAGUGAAUAUAAUCAAAUUAACAUUUAAAGAAAUUAUGGAAUGCAGGGUUAUGUUUUGUUUUGUUUGUUUUCUUUCUGAAAUAAGUCAUCCCCACUAUUCCAGCAGCAGCCCAUUGGAAUGAAAACUCAUUGUGAUUUUCCUAUUCCCAAAAGAAUGAAUCAGUCUGCAAUAAAAAAUGCAGUGCAUCACACCACCAUCUAGUGUCAGCUGGGUGAACUCCUGAGUACUCUGUGUGUGGAUUAUAAGAAAAAGAACAGAGUGAUAUAGUAAAGAACAGUAAUAACCGCAUCAACUGAUCUACUGUCUUAGGUUUUACAAGCGAAGAAGGUGAGGUAAUGCGUUCUAUGAAGGACAAAGGGCUGAAGACCUCGCAUUUUGGUGAGAUUCUCAAUUAUUUGUUUACUUCUUGAAAUAUUCCAUGAAUGCACUUACGGUUGUAUGACCCAUUGAUUUUAGCUUCCCUUAGCACAUUUUUUCCCACUUGAAAUCUAAAAUGAAGCAGAUUAAUAAGGGCUGUCAUCCUGCAGUAAUUCCAAACUAUUAAUCCUUUGGACUUUUUAAACUGUUAUUUCAAAUUUUAAAGAUAGUGUGGGUAUCUUUUCCUGUCCCUGUUGCAUCCAAGUAAAUGUAGGGGGAAAUAAACCAAAAGAAAACCCUUUCUUUCUUCUUUUUCCAGCUCCUAUUUGAUCCAUCUUUGCUAUUGUAGUUUGGGUUUGCAUUCAGCUUCUAUCCAUCACCUGAGCUGGAUUAUUUAACUGCUGUUCCUGGUUUUGGACUACCCUUAGAAAGUGGGGUUUUUUUGUGUGCAUGUGUGGUUUCGUGUUGUGUUUUUUGUUGUGGUUUGGGUUUUUUUAAACUAUUUUCUUUUGAAUAUUGUAAAAAAUUGCCCUUGAGGAGUCAUUCUUGGUGUUCAGAUGGAUACUGAGGAUGCUCUGUUUUUGUCUGGCUGUUGGACAUGGAGCGGUCUGAUCCCUCAGAGCCACAGCACUUCUGGCUGUUCACGAAGUAAAAGAGACUUGCAGUUAAUUUGUGCAUAUACAGCAAAUCCAGCGCAUCUCCAAAGUGCUGGAUUUACUGCACGGGAUGGGGCAGCCGUGCUGUCGAGGGUUUAUGAUUGUGGGGAGACAAUAAAACCCUGGCAGAUGUAUUGUUAAGCUCCUCUCCUCCUCUGUUUCCCCCUUUUGCCCCUUCCUCUCCCCACUUCCCACUCAGCACAGGUGAUCAGGAGGAAAAGAAGGACAGAGAGAAGAGAGCUGGAAAAAUUAAAAAUGUUUUACUAAUGCUACUAAUAAGAAUAGAGAAAAUAAUACAAAAUAUACAAAACCAGUGUUCAGCAACUGCAGAUCUGGCACCCAAAGUCCUGGACUGGACUCUGCAGCCAACCGGAGCUGGAUUCAGUCUCUCACUAGGCCUCAGUUUGCAGGGACAGCUUGCAAGGUCCUCUCCUAAUGUCGGCCAUAAGCAAAAGGGAAAAAAGGAAGGAAAGGGGCGAGAUCCUUCUGAUCUCACACUUUCAUAUGAAGUAUUCACGUGAAUGGAAUGUUUUACUUAGUUGGUCAGUUUCUUUAUCGUUUCUCAUUGCCCCUCUCAUGAGAUGUCCAUCCAUGCUUAUCAAUAAGUUUGCAUUCCUUUGCUAUGUUUACCAAAACAUGUAUCUGGUUCUCCAGGAAAAAGCAGCUAAUAUGAAGGCUUUAGCUGACAGGCAAAUUCACUAAAAGAGAAACUUGUUUUUUAGCAAAACCAGGACACGUACUCUCCUCUCCAUAGAUUUGUGCCCAGGAAAUCUCGGACCAGAAAUAUAGCAACCAGCGCUAGAGCUGAAGCUGUUUCAUUUACACAGUGGCUCUUAGUAAAAGGAAGUACUUUAAAACAUAAAAUGGUUUAUAAGUGAUCGCCUUGACUAAAUAUACUCCUUUGACAUUUUUCCAGCUUUGCGGCUUUGUUUUUCACUAAAAUAUAACUGCUUGGAGACCUAAUCCCUUAACUCUACACAGUCAUUGAUUCUACUAGUUUAGGGAAAAACACACACAAGGAAGGGAUGUUAAUCUGAAAUAGAGACAACUUUUUGACCAGCAAGUUGAUGAAUGCUGCCGAUUAAAAGAACAAUUCCAACUAUGUUUAUUUAGAUCAUAAGAAAAUCCUGUUGAAGAGCGGGGCCGGUCACACAAGACUGACCUGGAACUAUUCUUUGUACAUUUAGCUGUACAUGGCCAGUUUGAUCCUAUUAUUUUCAAAGAUAAAGGGAUAUGUAUUAACACUCUCUGCUUAGAUGGUUCCUUCAAAACCAACAAAACAGCCGCAGGAGUUUAAUGUCUCGCAGCGCAUAAUGAAUUACCGGGGCCUAAAGUUCCAGUCUUGAGACUGGCAGUUGGCUCAGCUUUGCAUGAGAUGGGGAGAUUAAAACCGGUGUCCUAAAACCAGACCAUGGCUGGUUUUGGUGAAUGUGACCGUGGUUCCUUUUGAGUGCACGCUCAGUCAGACCAGCUCUCUCAACUGACUCCGUCAUUGAGUGUCAUUUCACACUUUUAAUGUGUUGCUAACAAGAUACAACAUCAUUUUGUGCUCUUUGUUUUCUUACCGUGCAUGUCUUUAAUUUGGAAUAGAAAGACUCCUUUAAGAUCAAAGAUUUCUUCAGCUUCUUUAUGAGCAGAUGAUAAUUAAUUGAAACCUAAAUCCAACUCCAUAGUUUUUCCAAAUAAGCUAAAAACAAAGAAACAGCAAAAAAAUCCCCAGGUACUCUGUUUAUCCAGCCUAUUUUUAUUUUUAACAGUGUUGCUGAUGUUCAUCUUUUCCCCAUGGAGAGUCUUUUGGAUAACACCUUAGUCCAUCAAACAUCUGAGUUGUUUGGGUUUUUUCAAUGAAGACAGUGGGCUAUAUUUUUAAAUGUGUCAUGCACUGUAUACUCUUGUGUUUGUGUGAGGAACUGAUUUCCAAAAUAAGCGUUUACAAAAUAUUUUUAAGGCUUACUCCAAACUUACUGUGAUAAAUGAAAGGCCCUAGCCAUCAGAUUGAUCAAUGUGGGAUGGUUUUAUAUGCAUUUACAUAGUUUUGAAGUAGAAGUUUCAAGUCUGUGCUGCUCUUUAUAACGACCAUAGAUCUUUUAUAUAAGAAGAGUCAGCCAGAUUUUCUUUUGACUGUUUCUUGAAGCAUAAUUUUAUUUUUCUUUCUUACCAAAGGAAAUAUUUAUCGUUGUUACCAAGUAUGUUCACAAGCAAGAACAGUUGUAUCAAAUUCAGAUGUCCUACUGGAGAAGCUGACUGGCUCCAGCAGGGCUCUGUGGUGCUGCAAACAUUUUCUUGAACAAAAUGGAAAUAGGGGAGGAUCACCUAGAUAGAAAAACUGAGAGUUUGGACAGCAGUGGUGUUUGACAAGAAUGAUGAUGGUAUGCUUCACUGUUUCAGUGAUGGAGGGCACCAGAAGAAAUCCUGGGUUGCAAAGAGUGCAGAACGGAAAAUUUUGGAGGUUUGGUGUUCCACUUGCAACUUUCUCCUUACUUCAUUGCUAAUGUGGUCUUACAGCUCUGCUGUUGGAACGAUAAAGGACUCAGCAUUCCGAUUCAAUGUGAAUCACACAAAGCCAUUUAUUACAGAAACCAGCCUCCUUAUAUACGCAACUAUGUUCUAAUCACGCGUCCACGCUCCAAGCGUGGAUUCGCUAAAUGAGUAUCAUGGGCUGUCCGUGUGCUGGAGUCUCACUUAUGGUACAUCCGAUGAUUCACGCCACGCCAGGACCCUGCUGAUUGAGGAACACCCCUCUUUCUCACAGCAGAUUCUGUUCUCAGCUUCUCGAAGUGGCCUUGAGAUUCCAGACUAGUUCAGCAACAAAUCUUUAUCUAUCAAAACUCCUCCACACUCUACAGCAAAACCUGUCCAGCUUUACCUGGCUUUUCUUCAUCCUCUGUUGCUAGCAAGAGAAACAAGAGGGAGGUUAAUCUCUCUGGCUGCAGCUGUGAGCUGACUCAGCUUUUGCAAUUCCUGAUGAUGUCCUGACAACAGUGGCAUAAAUGAUUCCAUUGCGAACUGUGUAUAGAUAUGUCUUGAGAGAUGCUGAACUUUGGGCAGACUCAGAACUAGAUAUCCCAGAACUAGAUAUCCCUGGGGUCCUACAGCGAUUCUCCAGUGUAAAGAGUUUCUAGAAACUGUGGCUGUUUUACUGUUUAGCUAUUUUAGCUUCUGCUCUGAUGUGGAAAUGCUUUUGGUGUCUUGAGUGUUGGCUAAUGUAUGUAUGUCAAACAUUCAAAUGGCUCAAGUCAGACCCCUUCAGGAAGGCAGACGUUGAUUGCUUUUUCCACAUGGUGUUUCAGGCUCUGCUGUGCCAAGACUAAGUCACGUACCUAGUGGGAUUAUUUUUGUCUGCUUCUCCUCACCUCCCUCAGAUGAAAGGACAGAUAUUGCUGUUAUUCAGACUGUAUGUACUUCUAUAGCACCUUGGCUAGCUUUCCUUUUUCUUGGCUACAGCUCAAGCCCUUGAACUUUUGACACUCUUUUACCUUGCUGGAUCUGUUUCAAGAUUAAACUGCAGAUUAUGUUGCCUUUUCAACAGGAAUAGGCUUUAAGUUUUAGUCAGAGAACAUGCUGGGAAGAUGAUUUACCUUCUGCCCUAAUUAUUUUCCCCUUCAAAAUGUUUGUCUUCUCAGUAAUGGCAGAAAUAACAACUGAACAGCCAUCAAGUAUAGAUAGCUGAAGCUGAGCAGUCAAAACAAAUAGUCUCAGGCUGAGCCUUAUUGGCCUCAACAAUUUAGCAAAUACAAAUAGUGGUUUAAAUGUGAAGAUUGUGAAUAUGGAGCUGUGCCCGUUUUGCAAACACAAAGGUAGGCUGCUGUCCACCGCUCUCUUAUCAGGCAGCAUUUUCUGGGUGAAAUUCUGUGCUUUUAUCUCAGUAGAGACACAGCCUGUGAAAGGAUUUAAAGCUGAGAUAGAGGGUUGGAGGUUUUUAUCCUCUGGCCCCUGAGUCACCAUGGACUCAGUGCUGGUCCCCUCAGCUCCCCGGGGCUGCCGGGGAGGAGGAGGUUCCUGCAGUAGGUUUUUGUAAGGUCUGACAAGGCUCCCUGCAUAGCUUGCCCUUGAGGACCUGCCUUCAGUAACAAGUGUCUUUGAUGACGUGGCUGCCUUGUUGGCCACACACAGAGGUCUCCUGCUCUUUACUUCAACUACAGUUUGCAAAAGGCUCUUUGGAAGCCUGCCUAUAGGUUUUGUUCCUUUCUCCUUGGUCAAAGAGAUGCUUGGAUUACAUUUAUCUAACAGUCCUUUCAUAUGGCAUAAGUUUGGAGUGGGGUGAAAAGAUGUUUUUUCCCCAAAGCGAUUUGCCGUACUAACGACAUCUCCAAGUUGUUACGGGUUUCGCAGGUCAGACCUUCGAUGGGCCCAGCUUAGACGAAGCAGUGGUUUAAACGCAGGUGUCUGAAAGGGACACUCAGGGCACUUUGGAGUUCCAUUUCUCACAUUUUCUUUUCAAGGUAUUUGGAGCCUGACUGAAAACCAAUUUUACAAUCAUCUCACCUUUCACUGAGCACCCCUAUUGCUCCAGGAAAUGGAACUGCUUAAGGAAAGCUUCAGAUUCAGAAUUCCAUUAUUAUCGUGGACUGGCAUCUCCACUGUGAUCAACCGUGUCUUCUCUUGAGUGUGCGUUGUUUGCUUCCUUUCUGUGCUUUAUCAGCAAUGAAGGCAGGUGUGUUCUGGUUCGAGGUGCAAUAUGUGUGACCACAUCAUGUAGUAACUUUUGCAUGAUGGAGAUGUAAAGCUCUCUCAUUUUUGUAGCUGAAUUAUUUUCAGGUAGAAGCUUCUUUUUCUUAGAAAUGUUAUGCCCAUGUGGUUAUUAUCAAUGCUUUAAAAUAAAUCAUAGUUCUUUAAAGAUAUUGUCAACCAGACCAUUCCCAUUUGCCAUGCAAGCCUGAGGAUAGAGUAAUUAAGCUUAUCUUGAAGCUGGUUUUCAUUUAAAGUCAUGAUUAAUUACAUAAUUCAUAACUAAGGGAGUUUGUUUGCAGAGUUCAACGGCUGUGUUAAGAUCUUUCUUAUCGUGCUAUGUAUUUGUUAUUUUUUUAAAUUGAGUAUGCAUUUUAAGACUUACAUAUCAAGUUCUGUCUUUGUUGCUGUUCUGGUCAAGCUGUUUAUUCUUGCAAAACAGCUGAUACCUGGUUGAGUUAUUAUAUGUGCUGUCAGCUCAACUACCUGUUCUGUUAACUAGUCAGGUCCUCAGUAUAUUUGACAGUGUUGAUGAAGGUGGGAAAAUGUGAUUCCACCCAUUCGCGUUGAUUCCUAUAGUAGGCACAGCUGAACUGUGCUGGCAGAUGUGUCCAGCUGUGGGUAUAACAUGAGAAAAACCUUGGUGGAAUACAGUUGAGACAAGGAAUCCAGUUUUUGCUGAGCCCUACGAGCAGUCAUGAGAAGAGCCCAGGACCUUGUACUGGAUGCGAACCCUGAACUGGCUGCCAGAGCCGCGCUUGGAAGGAUUUAUGUGCGAAGCUGCUUAUGCUGAACUGAAAAAUCUCCAAUGUUUGCCUGGGCUCUCUUAGAGCACAUCGUUAAAUCUCUCCUCAUUGAGAAAACAGCAGCUGAACGUGCACUAGAAAACGCUAACUGGGUGCUGCGUUAUCAUGGUUUGAGCUGUAGAGAGACAUUGAUAAGAUAUGCCAAACCAAGGCAAUUAUAUUAUUGGAGCCCACAGUUCAAUCAGGACAAUAGGCAUCUUUUUUAUUAGAAAAUUUGGCUGAAUCAAUGAAAUGGGCAGUUCAAUCAGUGGGUUAUGAAUCUGUCCCCAAGGUAUAUGGAAGAGCAACUACUGCUUUAAUGUAUGGAAUCUGAUCAUGAAAGUAUAGCAACAGUUAUUGAACUAGUCAAGUAUGUACUUGAAAAUGGAAUGACUUCUAUCUUAAACGGUAUCUCGUAACAUGAGGAUCAAUAAAACACUUAUGCUGUAUGAAUCCUAAAGAUUAUUGUGUAUCUCUGAGCUGUUUUCUAACUGGUUUAUGUUCUCAAGUUGGUGCAGACAGCUAUACAGAAAAAAACACCAAGGGUUAAUAUUUAAGUAAAUUUAUUUUCAUCUCACUAUGAUAAAUGAAAUCCUUUUCAGGAUAUUAUGUACUUGAAUUCAUUUAAAGGGCAAGAAGGUCUUAUCCACUGGUUUGAAGACUGUAAGGUUGGAAAUGAGGAUCAGAUUUGAUUUAAUUUAUAUUUAAUUUGUAUUGUAUAUUUGUUUUGUAACUAGAUUUAAUUGGUGAUGCUUAUUGAUAUUGUACAUUGCAUUAACUUUGGAUUUAAUUUUGUCAAGAAGCAAGAAAGAAGAGUAUUACACCUUUUUUAGCUUGAUACCUAUGUUAGCAGCUUGGAGGCAGAAUUCUCUGAUGGGUCCUGCAACUGCCAGUCUGAAGACGUCGCUCUUCUCUAUUCUAGUGGUUAUGGAAAUCUCUUGGAGCCAAAAACUGCAGCUUUUAAAUAUGCAUCUAAAGAUGCCCAUUGCUAAUUUUGUCCCAUGUAGGAUGGACUGAGAAAAUCAACAAGCGUUUGAGCUGUACGAUCUCUCAUUAAUAUGUUCUGGCUUCUUUACUGGGAGAAUGUAUCAAAGAGCGGUCAGUUUGAUGAUUAUAACUAUCCAGCUGCCUUUGAAGCCUGUGAAUUGUUGUGUGGUAUGAGAAUGUGAACAAAGUGUUUGGGAAGUGCCCAUAUAAUGAUUUUGAUCCUUGCCUGGAUGCUCCAUUUCUUCCAAGACCAGGUAAUCAUCCUGCAGCUGCUGAUUUACAAUGUGUGAGGUAGGGAAAUUAUGUGAGUUAGAACAGAUGCAGGUUAAUCUUAGCCCACUUUUGUCAUUUUUAUGAACUGACAACCUUCAGAAUGGCACCAUCCUCUCUUCUAGAUGUAUGUGUUCUCUUUGCCCUUCUUGGCAUAUAAGUAUUAGAAUAGAAUUCGACUUCUUGUAGGAAUUCCAUUAUUUAGGAAUUCCUUGUAGGAUUCUUGUAGGAAUUCCAAUAUUAGGCACUAUUUAAGAUUUGAUUUUUAUUUUAUUUACACUUUUUUUGCAGCCCUGGGGUCUAGACUUCUGCUUUGCAUGAGGUUCUUCCAGUCCAUUCUCUUUAACCAGAAUUGAUAUUGAGUAUAUAUGAAUUACUCAGUCCGUUGGCUACCUGCAGGUUGUUGCAGGGUGGGGGGACUUGGCUUGGAUGGGGCUGUUUAGGGUUAAGUUGUAGAUCUGUCUUAGCUAUACGAAAGCUGGAUCUUGCUUUGUUCCUAAUUGCAUUUCCCAUGCCGUUGGAGGUGGACAUGAUGCUACAGAAGAAGGAGGUUGCUUAGGUGUUUCCAUUCCCUUCUCUCUUGUUUCCUUCAGGUCACACAGUUCCUAGCCUACAAAAAUCAGCCCAUAAUUGGUGUUUGCCAGUCGGAAAAAGUGAGCGAGGUGUAUACAGUCAAAGCUUAACAUUUGCCACUGCUCCCCACAGAGCUUCUCCCACAAAAUGAGUCUAAUAACCUAGAAAUACAGCGUCUGAAAAUACCUUCAUCAAAAGUUGAAUGUGUGAGGGAAAAGAGACUGAGCAAAUUCGCAGUAGUAGCCAACAGGUUUUUGCAAAACGCGUGAGUUUGGAUUAAGAGGUGUGUUUUCAAAGCGCUAAUUUCCAGCCUUUGCUUUUUUGAGACCAAGGGUUGUUCCACUUGCAACCAUAGAGCAAUGAUCCAACUCUUACAUUCUCAACACUGACUUAUUAGGUCAUCUUUGAGAAGAGAUGGCACACUGCUUUAAACACAGAUGGUAACAGGUGUGGGCUGGUGCUGGUUUGCAUUCAAAUAUUUCUAAUUUUAGAGUAGGCUGAACUAGAAAAAAUGCCCACAAGGAGUUUAGAAACAUUUCCUUAAUACAGACAAAAUUUCAAUCUCCAUCUGAUAGAAAUAAUAGCACUAGAAGAAAUAUGAAUUACCAUCAUUCAUCUCAGUGGGAUGCUGAUUUUUUGAAGGCAAAGCGCUGAGUUUUAAUGUUUUUCUAUUUUUUCUCUGUUUAACAUGAGGAUUUUCAGACACGGUUUUGAAAAAGGAAGUGUCUGUGAACUUUUGAAUCAAAAACUAGUUAAAACUGGAAUAAAAAUAAGCUUGGUUGAGAUAAUUUUUCAGGGCUUGUGGUCAGUAUUUAGUUUAAAAGACUUGCAGCUUUUGCUUUCCUACCACUAAUAGCCCAACAGGGGCAAGAGAGCACAGAGCAAGUUCUGCAGAGCACUAUCUUUAAUAUACCAUGGAAAACAAAUAUUAACGAGACAUGGGUUGAUUCAACUAACAUUUUGACUUAUUGAGGUGUGGUGUGUGGUUUUUUAUCUAUUUAUUUAUUUAUUUUCCCCCAAUUGUUCAGAUUUUGUCCUUGGGAACUGUCUUCAGCUUUGGUUUAUUUCAUUUUUAGACAAGGUGGUUUUAGCUAUAGGGUGCAUGAUUUGCAUAGUUAGUACUGUUGGAUUAAGACAACUCUCUAAUCCAGAGUUCUAAAAUGAUUUCUAGUUUUUGAGAAACUUCAGUCACCUGAGCUCAACAAGUCCUAGUUAAAAUGUAUCCUGACAUGUCCUGUCUCUGUAAUGACAGCAUCUGUUUACGUGGAGCCAAAAUGCAAUAUAUUUGGAGGACUAUUUAAAUGGGUGGCAAAACUGUGUUUGACUUCCUCCUUUAACCAAAAUUCUUUGUUCUCUGUUGUUUGUGAUGCAGAAAAGUUAAAUGGGAAUCAUAAAUUGCUUCAUUUGGUGAAAGAAUAGAAUAAUGCAGUUUAGGUGUUCUUCUUUUCAGUUCUUGUCUCAAAUAAGAGCUUCUCUUGAGUGAUGGAAAAGGGAAAUGGUGCCAUGUGCUGGAGGGUGAGAGAUGUUAUGGGUCCGGGCUUCUGCAGGAGCAUUAGAUCUGAAAGCAGAUGACUUUGUGCUGCCCAACAGAAGGCUGCACUCCAUUGGGAUUCGAGGGAUUUGGGGAAUUUUUGGGCCAAACUUGGGCUUUCUUCAGUGGGCAAAGUAGAUUAAUCUCAGUUGCCAGAUCCCAAAGAAUCUUGGAGACCUCACUUUGUAUACCUGCUUGGAUGUUCCAUCCAAGGGACCAUCUGCACCCAGAAGAGAAUUCAGAGCUCAGUGCUGACUGUGUUGAGGAUUAUAUCUGGCCUUCUGUAAUAUUUAGAGGACAGAAAGAAAUUGGGGACUUUCUGUGUCCCAUCUAGUAAGCACUUAGGCUGUAGAUCUAGGCAUAAUGUUGAGCUGGUGUUUUCAAUGAUGUCAGCAAACAUACUUUUGUUUUUUUGCCAACCUUUCCACCAACUUGUGCUAUUUUUCUUGAUAAGAAGUUUACGUAAUUUCGUAAUAUGGAGAAUAGAAGCCAAUAUGUGAAAUUUUCCUUCUCGUAAUGCUACUGAAACUUUGUGCCGAUGCAUAUUACUGGACCUCUUGCAAUUAUUUUACUUCUGUUGUUUUCUGUGAGCUCGAGCCCAACCUGUUGCUGUUCCUGCUCCAGCAUGGGGUUUGGACUAGAUGAUCUUUCGAGGUCCCUUCCAAUCCCUAACACUCUGUGAUUCACGUAGCAUUGAUGACUCCAAAAGCUGAGUUAUAUCAGUUUAUACCACUCGAAUCCCCAGCCCUGGGAUCAAGCCCAUUUAUGCAGUGGAAAAACACUGACAUGAUCCCUGUACUAGUAGGUUUGACCUGCAAAGAGACUCCCAGGAAAAUUGUUGCCUGGGGGAUGAAAAUCCACAUCCACAACCUUUCUGUGCCAAUCGUGUUCCUCAGAAGGGACAAUGUGUGUUGGUUCAGGACCCGCCCCGGAGCAGAGGCCGAUCUGCACCCCAGGGCUGAGCAUCCCCGAAUGGGAAGGAAAACAGUGGCAUCGCACGACCUGCUGCUUGGAAAAACAAACCCGAGCAGGGAUUUUAUUUGUCUAGGCGAAGCCUCCUGCUGCAAAUUUAUAGGCUUUUUAACUUGCUGUGCUACCUGUCAGUCUGGGAACAGAUGCACAGCCUUCAGGCUCUCGGAGCUUGCCAGUAACUGGCAUCCUGCUGGGAACCGCAGGAGGACUUGGAAUAUGGAGCAGGGUGACCUAAUAAUAGCACAAGAAUACUCUGAAACCAGUGCUUGCACAAAGAAGUAGAAAUGGGUAACCUGUAGUUCUGCUUUUUUCAGCCAGCAGAAGGAUGUGUGGGGUGAAACCGUGGACCGUGGACUUGAGUGCUUGCUUGGCAGCUGGAUGCUCAAUACCUUGGCUAGUAUAGCCAGAUGUUUGAAUUUCCCCAAAGCUGAAUGAAGCCAUAGAUGUGUAAAAAUAGAAUUUUCUAUGCGGGCUUGCUUCUCAGGCUGUUCAAAAUUUACUGGCUAUAAUUUACCAUUUGAGUAAAAACAGAGGGAUGGAAAAGUAUAGCCGGGUGAAACACGCAUUUUUAUUUUUCUGGGUAUUAUAACUGUAAGUUUCAUAGUUCUGUAUCUUCAAGAUUCCUCAGGGUUCAGUUCAAUUGCCCAGUUGUAACCCACGGUAUUUGAAUGAGGGACGCUGCAUGGGCCUGGGUUGUUACGUUUAUACAUUCCUAAAAUUACAUUUGGCCCAUAAGGCAACUGUGAGGCUGAUAUGGUCCCAGUGAAAGUGAGUUUGACAACCCUGCUCUAGACCUUCAUUUUUGCCAAAAAUUACUUAUUCUUAUAGAAAAAGAAGUAAUGUUGAGGUAAGAGUUGUCAAGAUCUGAGGAAACAGAAAUAAUUAUUAAUAUCAUCAUAAGAACACAUUAAUUUUGGCAUUUCAAGGUAUAACGGGAAUUCUUCAUCAGAACUACCAUCUGCCAAGGCAGAAUUUCCCUCAAGUGAUCAGGGUAAAUUGCCAAAUGGUAACUUGUUCUUUAUAUUCAUUUCUGUUUCUAGAAAGAAACCCACAAAUUAUUAAUUUGUAAAGAUUACUUGUAAAUCUCUCAAAGCCAUUCCUACUCCUUCCUAGCUCUUAUUUUCCUAUGUAUUAGGAAAGGACUAGAGCGACUUUAUUCUCCAGAACAUGGGGAGAAGCCUUGUCUCCUGUGGGGCAGAGUGAAAGUGGGAAUGAAAAUACAGUUUUGGGCAGAGCAGCAUGGAGUUAAAGUCCAAAAAUCCCCCCCGGUGCUGAAUUAUUUCCAGGAGGGCCACCCUUUAGUGGAGACAAACUGCUCAGGAAAACAUCACUAAGUGCUCAAAGUUAGUCUUGGGCUGCAGCUUUCUCCUUCUGGGAAUUUUGGUCAGGAAUUAAUGAAAGUUUAUGGGGAAAAUAACCUACAAGGCCCAUAAUGUUGAGUGAGAAACUACGUGCUGACACUGUUCUUAAUUUUCAACGCAUUUGUGUUUCCGUCUUCCCCGGUGGGACCCACGUCUUCCUACAACCUCAAAUAGCAGUUUUGUUCUUUUUUUUUAUAGAGAAGGCUGAUGUGGGGUUUUAUUUUUAAUUUUACUAUUGGUACGUCCUGCAGCUUCCUCUCAGAUUACACAGUUGGAUUUGGUUAAAAACAUCCCCCCAGAUACUUUUGUUUGUGGAAAAACGUUGUCUCUCCAGGAUUUUCAAGGCCAAUUAAUUUUUUAAUUGACAGAGGUAUACUUGAAAAUAUAAAACAUUCAUUUGUGGAAACUGGUCUGUUUCUAGUUAUUGUUGGUUUGGUUUGGCAAGUCACAUCUUUCUUAAAGUAGAAAACAAAAUUCUCAUGCAGAAGGAUAAAUUGUUUAACUUCCAUGGGCAUCCUUGGGCAUCUCUAAUUCUUUUUACUUUAGAUUUGGUUGUAAUUUGUUGUGUUUAGAUAUCUACUGUUUUGAUUAAAAAAAUAUAAUUAAUUUGAAAUACACUUUCAUUGUGGUUUUCAGUGCUUGAUUCAAAAUAACUUAUAAUGUCCACCAAUUUCUUAAGCAUUUUUCCUAAAUAGCUAUUAGUUUGACUCCUGCAAAACAAUCAAGCACAAUGUCAAUAACAGGAAUGUGCAAGCACGUGCUCAUUGUGUGAAGCUGAAAUAAUAUUAAAGCAUUUAAUGAUGUUUUAGUUCACUUGUAAAUUGAAAGAAUAAUGAAAAUGUGCUGCAAUUUGCGAAUGUUCACAUAUUUUUUUCUAGAAUCUGCUUCAUGUAUAUUGUCACUAAUGUACAAAAAAAUGGUUUAGCUUAUGGUACCAAAAUUAAUGUCAAAACUAAUUGACCUUCACAGGCAGUUAAUUUUAUGCUUCUUUGAACAUGAUCUGUAGGAUCACCCCAUGGAUAUUGCAUUUGUGUUACUUUUCCCAAAAAAACCUCUGAUAGUGACUUCACAGAAUAGAGAAGACAGUAAUAAUGCUCUUAAAAUUUCCAACUUUUUCCUUGUUUGCAGGGUAGUCAUUGAGCUGCAUGAAACAGCUCCUGUUGCAAAGAAAAACUUGGAAGUCUUCCACGUGAAAUGGGUUUUGCAAAAAGCAAAGUUUUAUUUAAUAUGAAGAGUGCGUUAGUUCUUUUCAGAGGGAUUUCGAUGUGUUGAAUAUCUGAUGUAUUUUCCCCACUUCAGUUUCUUUGCUUUACAUAUUUACACAAAGGGAAGAGGAAAAGUAGUUUGCACUUAAGUUAAAGCAAGAUCCUGAAAGAAAUACAUGGUCAUUAAGACAAAAAAUAAACCCCUAAAAUUUGGAAAGAUUUCACAUUCUGUUAAUAAUGAUUUAAUGUAUAGAUUCCUCUGAAACCUUCUCAGUGGUGCUGUGCUGCUGCUGUAAAUGUACAUCACUAAAAUCUUGUCAACUUGUUUUGAGCGUGAUACCUCGGUGCUGCUGUGACCAGGCACAAAGGUGUGACAUGUUUUGUCUGGACCAGGUGACAAAGUGCUCUGAGUGAUGUGCCCGACCCUGAUCGACACAAGGAUUUAAAGCUGGGAGGAGUGGCUGACACGCCAAAGGUUGUGCUGCCAUCCAGAGACCUGGACAGGCUGGGGAGUUGGGCGGGGAAAAAUUUAAUGAAAUAUAACAAGGGCAAGUGUAGAGUCUUGCAUCUGGGUAGGAACAACCCCAGGUUUCAGUAUAAGUUGGGGAAUGACCUAUUAGAGAGCAGCGUAGGGGAAAGGGACCUGGGGGUCCUGGGGACAGCAGGGUGACCAUGAGCCAGCACUGGGCCCUUGUGGCCAGGAAGGCCAAUGGUACCUGGGGUGGAUUAGAAGGGGGUGGUCAGUAGGUCAGGGAGGUUCUCCUGCCCCUCUACUCUGCCCUGGUGAGACCACAUCUGGAAUAUUGUGUCCAGUUGUGGCCCCUCAGUUCCAGCAGGACAGGGAACUGCUGGAAAGAGUCCAACGCAGGGCAACAAAGAUGCUGAAGGGAGUGGAGCAUCUCCCGUGUGAGGAAAGGCUGAGGGAGCUGGGGCUCUGGAGCUGGACAAGAGGAGACUGAGGGGUGACCUCAUUAAUGUUUACAGAUAGAUAAAGGUUGAGUAUCAGGAGGAUGGAGCCAGGCUCUUCUUGGAGACAACCAGUGAUAGCACAAAGGGCAAUGGGUUCAAAGUGGAACACAAGAGGUUCCACUUAAAUUUGAGAAGAAACUCCUUCUCAGUGAGGAUGGCAGAGCCUGGCCCAGGCUGCCCAGGGGGGUUGUGGAGUCUCCUGCUCUGGAGACAUUCAAACCCGCCUGGACACCUUCCUGUGUAACCUCAUCUGGGUGUUCCUGCUCCAUGGGGGGAUUGCACUGGAUGAGCUUUCGAGGUCCCUUCCAACCCCUGACAUUCUGUGAUUUUGUGAUUUGUGCUUUGCUCAAGUUAGCAAUUGGAAAAACAAGUACAGUGAGGAUGCAGUAGUAAAAAAUAAAGAAAAAAAAUAAAAAAAAUCUACAACUCUGUUGCAUUUAAUGAAAGAUGCUUAAAUUAUGGCAGAGUCAUUCCUUUAUUACAUUUGCGAUGUCAUAUUUAUCACAUCAUCUUUAUGGUUUUGUAAUUACGGAUUCACUGCAGUUUCCCCUGUACAUCCAGUUAUUCAGGAGUUCAUAAUUCUGCCCACUUAAUUUAUAAUGUGAUGAAACUUCGCUAAUAAAUUAUUGCUCUGUAUGCAAAUUCUUGUGGGUUUUUUACUGACUUCAAUUGAUUAAAUGUUUUUAAGCUGUGGUGAUGAAAAAAACCUACAAAGGGCCAGAUCUAAAAAGUAUGUAGGUGACAAAAGUCCCCAACCCUGACAAAAGGGUGUUAACUACAAGCAACAGAACUCAAACUCACAACCCGAGCCCCCAGCUGGGAUACUGCUUGUCUCCAGAAAUGCCUUUUUUUGCAUAAUAGUUAUAUUUUAUCCAGAAAGUUAUAGGACUGUGUGUCUACAUGCAGUGACACGGGUUCUCUGAAGGCCUGGAUCUGAGAGUGCUGCUUGGGAUAGGACGGAUGUGCCCAAACAAGCCUAUGGAGGAAAACUUUGUGAGUAUUUUAUAAUAAAAAGGUGCCUGUUCCAGUAAAAGGAAGAUCUGAUUUAAAUCUCCCUUUCUAGUCUGAGGGAUAUGAACUUCUGUCAUGCUGGUUUAGAAGAGUAUCAAAUUAUGAGGCUCUACACAAUGCGGGUACAGAGAUAGAGAAGAUUCCUACGUGCAUGUGGGAGUUGAUUCAAUCAGGAGGAGAUGGGCAAGAGGAAGGAGCCUGAUUUGAUAAUUGGCAGUUAUGGAAACAGCACAAAACUGGCUGGGGAAGUCACAGACUGGUUGGGGUUGAAGGGACCUCUGGAGAUCAUCCAGUCCAACCCACCUGCUAAAGCAGGUUCAUCUGAGCAGAUCACACAGGAUCAUGUCCAGAUGGGUUUGAAUGUCUCCAGAGAAGGAGACUCCACAACCUCUCUGGGCAGCCUGGGCCAGGCUCCAGCACCUCAAAGGAAAGAAGUUUCUCCUCAGAUUUAGAUGGAACCUCCUGUCUUUCAGUCUGUGCCUGUUGCCCCUCAUCCUGCCGUUGGGCACCACUGAAAGGAGUCUGGUCCUCUAGACACUUGACUCUUGACACCCACACAAGUCAAGGCUUUCACAGUUACCUGCUGUAUACCACUGUAUUUUUUUAAGGACUGGAUUUGUAUAGUUAAUCUGGAAUUAUUUUCAUGUGACCAAUGUCAUUGCCAAAGAGCUACCUGUGCAACCAGGAGCCUUGAUAAACUUUUUUAAAGCUCUUGUCACACAAAAAGUUCAGAGCACAAAGAAGAACAUUGCAUGUCUGCCUGCCAAACGGAUCCUUGGCAAGCUGUCCCUUGAACAAUUCUGAUUUGUUUCCAUUUAAUUAAUGAACACUCUCCUGCUUUGUGAUUAUUGUCCUUGCCUGAAGUUGUUCCCGUUAUAGAGAUGAAUAAAUAGUUCUCGACAUUAGUUUCUACCUGCUUCGUAAUUUGUUACACCAUCAGGGACCCGUAACUUGUCCUUGCUUUAGUCUCAGCUAAUUCUGUCUCAUCUUGUUUCUUUUUGUUUGGCAUUUAUAUUAUUUCUGUUUUGUCCUUCACAGUUAAAUAAAAUAACACUGGCGUUCUUUUAUUGCUAUUACAUAUAUAUUUCGUCUUUUUCCUUUGUCAUGGAACGUAUUUCCUCGGUUGAAGUAGGAGAUCUCUCUUCAUUCUAGUAGCUUCUUCAGGAGCUGCUUGUGCCACAUAAACUUGUGAAAGAAAGAGCAUAAAUUAUCACAGACAUUUUCCUGAGUGCAGAAAAUCAAUCUCCCACUCAUUCUCCCAUUUUGCUGUGAAUUUUGUAUCUGUUUGCACCUCUGUCGCUUUCCUUUGAAUGUUUUAAGUGAAGUUAGAUUGUGAGGCCUUUGGCAAGCGGAGGUCUGGGGUAUGGUGUGAGCAGACUUUGUGUGUUUGGAUUGUAUCAAAAAUAGCUUGUCAUUUCCUUGACUUUUAAGCACAAGGAAUAACAGAGAGUAGUGACUUGUGCUUUGGCCGGAGCGUGUUCCUGGGGAUUGUUCAGGGAGUGGUUGCCAACAGCAGCAAGCAGAACUGGGCAGUAUUUUCCAUUUGUAAAUUAUCAAGAAAUGACUGUUACAUUCAAUACAUAAAUUAUUCACAAAGAAAACAGCAGGUUCUGAUCACCUCCAAAUUAAUGCUUUCCUGGCAUUUGGUGUCCAGGCUAACACAACGUAAUUGCUUCGACAUGUGCCAUACUGUCCUAUGAAUGUCACAAGUGCAAGACUGUCCUAUAAUAGCUGUUAUCCAUGAGAUAAUAUAAACUAACACCUUUUUGGUAAAUGGUGCUUUAUCCCGUGUGUCACCAUAACUCUCUGCAUGCAUUAUUAGAAGGGUGAUACAUCUGAGGUUUGUCUCCCCAGUUGCUCUGAAUGGUCCUAAGCAAAUUGUCAGCGUGGUGUUCACAGCUUCUCUUGGUGUGUUGCCAUAAAUGAUGGAUGAGUCUGAUAUUCUUCAGUUUUGGGUGUGAUGCUACUUCAGUACUUCUGGACUUGUUUACAUGUCCCUUUGAAAACGGUGAAGAUAUUACUGAACGGGUGAAUUGGUUCAAAUACAAAGAACAACCCCAAAAUAUUCCCAGCAGGAGCUUUCUUUCACUCUUGAUUUGAACGUUGGAAUAUGGAUACAUUCACAUGUUUGGUUUUGUUUAUUCUGUCCACAUAAUUAAUUCCUUUUUGCCUGAAUAUAUUAUUUUACACUGGUAGCGACAGCGAAAGUAGAACUUGUUUGAACGAGUGUGGUCCUUGGUAAUGUGACCAGUUCAAUGCCAAGGACGGGCAGGGAACAGACUCCUGGAUGUUUAAAGCCCAGCGAGACAAGAAGAGGUCACAUUAAAUAAAUUUGUUAACAGUGUACGCUUUUUCUGCAGGGCUGGCUGCUGUGUUUUCAUAAUACUGAAAUGCUGUGAAAAACAGGAAGGCAUGGUUGUGAGUUAUCUGAAAUUAGAAGGGCUUUUGUCUGAACAUCUUCAAACCUUCUUAGUGAGCUGAGAUUUGAUUCAAGAUCUGCAGAUGACCUCUUAUAAUUUUGAUUCGACAUCUUCAGAUGAUCUCUUGUUUUAAUGGACUUGAAGCACAAACUGGGUCUGGAAAAUGAGGCACCGAGGUCUGAAUUUUCCAUUUUGAGCCUGUCUCCUUUUGAAAACUUGUUGGUACUAGCAUGUACUAACAGAUUGCAGUGCUACGGUGGCGGUUUGAAGUAUAUUUUAUCUUUUUGAAUAAAAAUGUGUUCAGAAGAGAGAGACAGACUAUUUCUCGCUUCUCUGGAUGCAGCAGUUUUGUCAGUGCAAGCGAUUCCUGUUCACUCAAAUAUUAAGAAAACAUUAUUUUACAGGGAAAUAGUGAUUAAACAAAAAUUCCUGUUGUUUCGACAGAGACAAAAAAAUAAUAUACUUUUUAAAAAGGCUUGGUCAUGAGAGCAUAAUAGAAUAAGAUGAUUAAUUCAGCAAUUUCUUUGAAGAAAUUGUUUCUGUUGAGGCCUCCAUGAGAGAUUGGCCCAAUCUCCUCCCAAGUGUUUUCUGGUAGGUGAGCAGUGUUGGCCCUUCCACCAGGUUAUGGCUUUUGAAGCAAUUGCCCAACAUCAUUACCAUGCUGUGUUUAAUGCUAUGGAGUGGUCUUGGAGUGUGUGAACUGGUAUCAAAAAUUAAAUGUGAAGAUCUAGCAAUUCACUUCAUUGCUCUGUCACCAUGAACAAUCCUGCAUUUCUCCAUUGCUUUAUGGAAUCUAUUUUGCAGAUUCAAAAAGAGAGACAAGUGUAUUCUGGACACAUGUUGCUCUUCUUCUAUGAUUUAUUUUUUGUGCACUGGAAAAGACUGACUGAAAUCAGCAAUAAUAUUGGUUACAAAGAGUUACAAUCAAGUUGUGCCAUUGCAUGAAUUCAGUCAGGCUGCUGCAUUACAUGGUGAAUUUGACCUGUAAUUCAGUGGAAGGAAAAGUCACCUGCAUGGGAUAGUUCACCUAUAUAAUUUUUUUGGUGGAAACUGCAUCUUGACUGGAACUUAAAUUUAGAGAACACAGUCUUCUGUGUGUAUCUGCAAGGCUUCCCUCAGUGGAUAUUCCUUAGAAAUGGUGGUGGAAAUUACUUAAAAAGAAGGCAGUUAAAUCCUCUGCCAUGACUGACUGAUUUUACUGACGCCUGGAACCAACCAGACCUUUACGGUCUCUCUUAUCAGUGAAUAAUUCAUAUCCUAUGAGUGAAUAACCCAACACAACCAAACCAAGAUGUGCAGAUAUCUGUCUGAAGACUUUAACGGCUCAUCUUUUGGGUAAGACUAUUAUAAAGUCAUCUGGAGGAAGAAGCUCAUACGUAAAAAUGAAUGUUGCCAUGCAACAAGUGCUAAAGAAGAAACCACAAGAUUUAAGCCUUAAUUAAUUUUCCAUAGCAGCAGGGAAUGUUGAGGAAUAGGGAAAUUCAGGAGCACCACUGUUAAUUAAGCCUCAUUUGCUACAAAUCUGUGUCUUGUAGUUGAUGACUUUGAUAUCUGAGGGGGUAUAAAGUCCAACCGACACUUUUUCAUGAUCGUAACAUGUAAGGGCAUGCUUUCCCAUUAAAAUUCCUUAAUAUUUGAUAAAUAAAAUGUGUAUGUAGGCUACAACCUCUCUAUAUUUGAUGCCUGCACUCUAUUGCAUAGGUACUUAUUUACUCUGUGUUUAUAGCUCUCCCUAAUCUCUGUUCAAAUUGUGCCCAUAUCUUGUAAUAAGACCCCCAAAAGCAGAUGACCAGAGGUCAUGUGUAGGGUUUGGGCUCUGUGUGGAUUAAACAGACCAGUAUAAAUGCUGGUAUAUCUAAGACAGCAUAGCUGAAUGGAGAUUUGUAAAUGCCGAUGCCAUACAGGCUAAAAUAGCUGUGAUGUUAACUAUUCAGAUGACAGAAUCCACUGCUUCUCUGACUUGUGAGCACUGAUUUGCCACGCUGUGGUGCAUUAGACAGAGAUUAUUAUUAUAGCAGAGGAAGACAUUUUGAAACACACAAAUUAAACCUGUUAAUCCAUAUUUUCGUAAUUCAGUUCCCUGUAGGUAAAACUUGAUUUUCUUUCACCCAGCGGAUACAUCAAAACACAUCCUGUCAGAGGAAGUCUCAAGUAUUAUGGCACUUUCUACCUGUACCCUCAUCGCUGACAGGAGUUUGAUCCAGAUAUUAAUGGGACAAGGGAUGGGCUAAUGAUGGACAGCUCUGGUCUUUUGAACAGCCUCGUCUCCCUGUUUUAAGUACUCCAGGAACACCAGGUUACAUUAAUUAGGAUCCACACCAUGAUCUCAAACUCUGCUACCUCGAACCAUGUGAUGUCUGCAGUUGUGUCUGUGUGACCAGGACAAUGGAGAAGGGGCUGUUUGGAGGACAAUUUGCCUGGGACCCAUCUCACAACAGGGAACUGGAGAAGGAAAUAGGUUGUGAAAAGUCAGUGGUCCUGAGAAAACUUGCAGUGAAAAACGGGGAGCAGUGGCAGUUGUUCGCACCUCGUGUGCCGUGGCACUGCGAACAAUUUUACACCACAAGAAAUUUCCAGAACUGGAUGAAGUAGGAGAUCUGUUACAGAAGUGGAGCAAGUCGCCGUAACGGGCCUUUGUGACAGAGGCUGUAACUCAUUGAAGAUCUCUGAGCUGUCAACUGGAUCAUGGAAUUUUUUAAAGGUGCCCAGUUAUUUAUCCAAGCUCAUCCUAAAGACUCUGCUGUUGGUGAGCAUUGCAUCAAGAUCAGAAUUGUCUUCUGGAAAGUCCCAAGAUUUGGACUAAGCUUGUUACAACCCUGAAAUCCAAAUGGUGACUUAAGACACAAACACGUAUUAGGCCAAAUGUCUGUUAUUCUGGUAUGUGGUGUCUAGUUAUGUGCUUUGAGUCUUGUGUAUAAAUUGCAUACGUGUGCAUCCUUGUAGCAAUAGCAGACAACUGUGCUAUGUCUUGCAUUACCCAUGUGCCCAAAUGAAGCUUUGUGCUGAAGUUACUCUUUGGCAAGUUAAUAUAACUACAGGGAUUUAAACACUGUAAUUUCAUUGUUACCAUUAGCCUAACAAAGUAUAACUUCAGAUUGUACUUUUUGCAAAUGAGAACUUCCAGUGGCCCUCACCUCUCCAUCAUAACCAAAGCAAUUACACUGAGUUAUACUUCAUAGGUAUAACCACUCAAUUAUUUUCAGAAUGCAGCCACAAAAGUCAUCAUCUUAUGUCAGAGUAAUCUAUAUAGUGCAGCUCUACUGCAUAUAUUAGCUCUUACUCUUUUCUCUAGUAAUACCAGCUCUAUCAGCCUCUUUACUUCAGGUUUUUCUGCCUCAAAAUUGUAAAGCUUACUGAAGAAGUGCUCUCUAAUUGGGUAUGGUGUAAGUGGAGAAAAGCUCAUUAAAAUAGAGGAGUUAUUUGUGGAUGUUGCAAAAGAAAAUAAACCUUUGUAGCUGGAAUUCACUGCAUCAUUCUUUUAAUUCGUACGUGGCUUGGACCCACAUAUAAAGGGCAGUCUGGGUCAUGCCUACAGGAGCUUAAUGGCAGCUGUCGCUAUUUAAUCAAGAAAGGAGAAGAUGCACUAACAGUGGA